CUUGUUUUUCCCAAGUGGUUAAGGGGGGAAGACUUAAGAUCUUCUGCACAUAAGUGUGUGUGGGUUCGAACCCCACAGCCAUCA
rfam:Picea glauca, whole genome shotgun sequence.